rnacentral:rRNA from 1 species
AUGCAAGUCGAACGGCUAACAGGAAACAGCUUGCUGUUUCGCUGACGAGUGGCGGACGGGUGAGUAAUGUCUGGGAAACUGCCUGAUGGAGGGGGAUAACUACUGGAAACGGUAGCUAAUACCGCAUAACGUCGCAAGACCAAAGAGGGGGACCCUCGGGCCUCUUGCCAUCGGAUGUGCCCAGAUGGGAUUAGCUUGUUGGUGGGGUAACGGCUCACCAAGGCGACGAUCCCUAGCUGGUCUGAGAGGAUGACCAGCCACACUGGAACUGAGACACGGUCCAGACUCCUACGGGAGGCAGCAGUGGGGAAUAUUGCACAAUGGGCGCAAGCCUGAUGCAGCCAUGCCGCGUGUAUGAAGAAGGCCUUCGGGUUGUAAAGUACUUUCAGCGGGGAGGAAGGGAGUAAAGUUAAUACCUUUGCUCAUUGACGUUACCCGCAGAAGAAGCACCGGCUAACUCCGUGCCAGCAGCCGCGGUAAUACGGAGGGUGCAAGCGUUAAUCGGAAUUACUGGGCGUAAAGCGCACGCAGGCGGUUUGUUAAGUCAGAUGUGAAAUCCCCGGGCUCAACCUGGGAACUGCAUCUGAUACUGGCAAGCUUGAGUCUCGUAGAGGGGGGUAGAAUUCCAGGUGUAGCGGUGAAAUGCGUAGAGAUCUGGAGGAAUACCGGUGGCGAAGG